UACCAGACUGGGUGACACCCCGUGAAUGCC
rnacentral:piRNA from 1 species